AUGCCUAUGUCCUGUUGUGUUUACGGAUGCUCCAGUAGGUCGACCAGAGAAACCGAUAAACGGUAUUUUAGGGUACCAAAAAUAGCCCAACGAAGAGGAGAAAAAUGGAAAAUUCUAACCGAAAAACGUAGGAAAAAAUGGAUUUUAAAUUUACGUUUACAGUCGGGAGGAGCAGAGUCUGCUAAUGCCCGUGUCUGCAGCGACCACUUCGUCAGAGGCUGCCCAAGUGCUUUGGAUGACGAAGAGUCGGAGGACUGGGCUCCGACGGUCAAUCUCGGCUACGAACGAAAACCCAGAUCGGAAUCAGUUCUCAAACGAGAGAAAAGAAUGAAGCUUAAGGCAGAACAGCAUCGAUGUGCAGAGGCGAUUCUGGAUAUGCAACAGACGGCUGAGAGCCCGGAUUUGAGCCUAGUGACAGUGGAGAACCCCGAACUGCAGCUUCCAGCUGAGAAUCCACAACCACUAACCCUGCCAUACAAUUGCAAUGAGCUGCAAUCACUUCUCCAUCCUCCUUUGCAAUUACCCAAGUCUUCAGAGGUGUCUCGUUAGACCUCUGGGAAUGGUUUACCUUGAAACAAACAACUGUCACUCUAACGAAGUCCUAAGGAUGUGGCAUGUUUGUUGACGUUAAAGCCGCUACCGCUAACUGUUAGCGUGUUUAAGAUAAAGCAAUAUAAGAACAAACACUCACCCUUGCAAACACCAAACUGUAUCCAUCACGGAGACGUUUUGUUCCAAGGUUGUGGACCCACCCGCUGACAAAAAAAUUGUACGCCUCCAGACUCUUGAAAGCUUUCAUUUGCUGCCUAGUGUAGUAAGAAGUCUGGAGGACCAAGUAGUUGGUGAUAUCCACAGCCUCGAUAGUAGGCAAAUCCUUUACUUCUGUGGUGUAUUCGGACAUUUUCAAAGAAUACGGAUCACGUCCGAUAUAUUUUUUAACUAUCUGUUUAUAUCUCUCCCGAGAAACGGGGUCUAAAGUUGCACAAUAGCUGCUCUCCUGACUCUCCACAGUGUCCUCCAUGUUUACUUCCGCCCUCCACUCAAAAAUCGCGCUGCCUCCGCACGUCAUCAGAACCACGUGACCGCAACCCAACUAUUAUAAGCACCAGAGAAGACAAACCUCUGCACGGAGGUAGCAACCACUGCUCGAAACAAGGACAUUGUUAAAGCACGGGCUCUCUUUUUUACAGUGUCCUUUUUUCUCUAAGUAAUUUGUCCAAAUUCUGUCGGUUACGACUGUGCAGAAGCUGAUAGACAGCUGCAACAACACCUACUAGCUCUGUAGCCGCCAUUUUUACUUCCGUAAACAGAGCGCGUUGUUUGUGACGUCUUCUUUUGCGCAUGCGGGCCGCUUUCAUUGCCGUGAACCGUUCACACUAGAGCGCAUUUGCUGUCACAUUUUAUCUGUAGUGUGAACAACCACAUAAAAAAAAUUGGAUUUGAUCAAAAAAUUGUAAUUUAGCAUUAAGACCUGCAGUAUGAAUGUAGCCUCAGUCUCUUUGCUUUCUCACUUAUCACAACAGGACGUUAUCCCAUUUUAAAAUGUGGGAUCAUGCAAAGUCCAUCAUUAGCUUGAGUGAUGCUGAUCAUUUAACGACAGUAAUACACUUGCCCAUAGACUUGCACACUGCUGGCUUGAUACCAGUGAAGAGCAG
ensembl:lncRNA